ACAAAACUUCUAUUAAAGGGAUAGGAUAUUUUUUUCUUCAGAUUGUUGGCCACCCUAACCUAGAACUGGAACUUUUAAAAAAAAUAAUUUGGCUUAACCAAUGCAACAACCCAGAAGCAGCAUUCUGCAAAUGAUGACACUUCUGAGGAAUACUCUGAUAUAGAGAACACUCUCUUCUUACUCCCCCUAGAACUUCUUGACCUUGAAAAUGGUUGUUACGUGACCCAGUUAAAACACCUCUGGCAGCAAGCCCUGGAAAAGACUGUUGGCGAUCUCUCUCCUAGGAGGGCUGCUGCCCAUUGAGACAGACAACGUUGUGGUAGAUGAACCAGUGGUUGGCCUUGGAACAAGGAGGGCUGCUGUACCUCAACAGUUGACAAGGAAGGAACCCAGCAGGUCAGGUUCUUCAUCUCUGCUUGGAAAAGUUCUACCUGGUGGAUGGCAGCUUGUCAUGCUGCUAUAAAGGGGCAAGAGUCUUUUCUGGAAAUCAUCGGUGCUUUCCUGUGCUGGGUGUAGGCUGCCUCUGAAAACACAAGACCAGAUGAACAUUUGUUGACCCACUCCUGCUGCGGUACAGACAUUCUGAGGACUCAUCUUUCACUACUUGUACCUGUUGACCAAGCCAACACCACUGCUGUUUCCAAAGUUCUUAGCUGUGUAACUGUCCUGCCUGCUACAGAUAUGGGAGGAAUUCUGGGAAGGAAAGCCAGCAAGGCUGAAUGUAUCAAAGAAGCCACUGUUGGCAUUCCAGCUCCAAAAGAAUUGGAUGCAGCAGAAUCUGCACCAGAAAGAAGACCUCAACAAUACAGCGAUGCCUCCCAGGCCCCUGUCACAGUGAAAGAUGUUAGAGACCCUCCCAUGGCCAAGGAAGAUGAUGGAGUUCCAGCAGUUACUAAUUCUCCAUAUGAAACAACAGCCAGCUUGAAAAGAGAGUUGGAGGAUCUGAAAUCCUGGGAGCCAUCGAAACGGGUUAGACACUCGCUUUAGAUGAUAAACUGGGCCUAGAAACCACCUUUGACACAGCCUUGUUAAGCAACAGUUUGUUUUUGUCUUGAAAUCUGUAACCACAUAAAACUGUGUUCUUUCUGUCCUUACAAAGUAACCACCCUCUUCCCUCUAAGAAGGCCUGUGGGCAUUGCAGGUACUUCAUUUUGAACCUAGAUGUUUUUAACUAAAGGUGCAGAAGGAGAAUGGAGAUUGCAGUGUAGUCUUUCUGCAGCACGCAGUUGUAUUCCUGAAAAAACAUGUUCAAGAUCAAAUUACUUUGUUUUGCCAUAUGUACAGGAUGUAUACAUGCAUGCUUAUAAGGCAAGGCUAUUCAUGUCUUUGUGUCCUUGUGCUAUGCGUUGGUUGAAGAAGGGCUCUCUAAAGCAUGGUUGAUUCUUCACAGUUUUCAUGGAAUGCUUCACCAGCACUCUUCACUACAAAGCUCUCUUCUAAAGGGUCUUGGUUCCCUUACCUCUAGAGCGGAAUAAUCCAGAUGGUGUUAAGAAGAAACUUCUAUGAAGCUUGCAAACACUUAAAGUUCACCCCUUACAACAUGAAUGUACAAGGAUGAUUGUUAGACAUGCAACAAAGGAAAAGACCUGUUUUAAAGUUCAUGGUACACUGGAAAAAUCAAACUGUGUGUGUUUUUAGUCUGUCAAUAAAAGGUUUUUAUAACUGCAAAA